CAUGGUUCAAAAGUGAAAGACGGUCUUGCUGUCACUUAUAGAUGGAUCCGCGCUGCAUUAGCUAGUUGGUAAGGUAACGGCUUACCAAGGCAACGAUGCAUAGCCGACCUGAGAGGGUGAUCGGCCACACUGGAACUGAGACACGGUCCAGACUCCUACGGGAGGCAGCAGUAGGGAAUCUUCCGCAAUGGGCGAAAGCCUGACGGAGCAACGCCGCGUGAGUGAUGAAGGUCUUCGGAUCGUAAAACUCUGUUAUUAGGGAAGAACAUAUGUGUAAGUAACUGUGCACAUCUUGACGGUACCUAAUCAGAAAGCCACGGCUAACUACGUGCCAGCAGCCGCGGUAAUACGUAGGUGGCAAGCGUUAUCCGGAAUUAUUGGGCGUAAAGCGCGCGUAGGCGGUUUUUUAAGUCUGAUGUGAAAGCCCACGGCUCAACCGUGGAGGGUCAUUGGAAACUGGAAAACUUGAGUGCAGAAGAGGAAAGUGGAAUUCCAUGUGUAGCGGUGAAAUGCGCAGAGAUAUGGAGGAACACCAGUGGCGAAGGCGACUUUCUGGUCUGUAACUGACGCUGAUGUGCGAAAGCGUGGGGAUCAAACAGGAUUAGAUACCCUGGUAGUCCACGCCGUAAACGAUGAGUGCUAAGUGUUAGGGGGUUUCCGCCCCUUAGUGCUGCAGCUAACGCAUUAAGCACUCCGCCUGGGGAGUACGACCGCAAGGUUGAAACUCAAAGGAAUUGACGGGGACCCGCACAAGCGGUGGAGCAUGUGGUUUAAUUCGAAGCAACGCGAAGAACCUUACCAAAUCUUGACAUCCUUUGACAACUCUAGAGAUAGAGCCUUCCCCUUCGGGGGACAAAGUGACAGGUGGUGCAUGGUUGUCGUCAGCUCGUGUCGUGAGAUGUUGGGUUAAGUCCCGCAACGAGCGCAACCCUUAAGCUUAGUUGCCAUCAUUAAGUUGGGCACUCUAAGUUGACUGCCGGUGACAAACCGGAGGAAGGUGGGGAUGACGUCAAAUCAUCAUGCCCCUUAUGAUUUGGGCUACACACGUGCUACAAUGGACAAUACAAAGGGCAGCGAAACCGCGAGGUCAAGCAAAUCCCAUAAAGUUGUUCUCAGUUCGGAUUGUAGUCUGCAACUCGACUACAUGAAGCUGGAAUCGCUAGUAAUCGUAGAUCAGCAUGCUACGGUGAAUACGUUCCCGGGUCUUGUACACACCGCCCGUCACACCACGAGAGUUUGUAACACCCGAAGCCGGUGGAGUAACCUUUUAGGAGCUAGCCGUCGAAGGUGGGACAAAUGAUUGGGGUGAAGUCGUAACAAGGUAGCCGUAUCGGAAGGUGCGGCUG
rnacentral:rRNA from 1 species